rnacentral:rRNA from 1 species
CCUACGGGUGGGCAGCAGUGGGGAAUAUUGGACAAUGGGGGCAACCCUGAUCCAGCCAUGCCGCGUGUGUGAAGAAGGCCCUCGGGUUGUAAAGCACUUUCAGUGAGGAAGAACGCCUGGUGGUUAAUACCCAUCAGGAAAGACAUCACUCACAGAAGAAGCACCGGCUAACUCCGUGCCAGCAGCCGCGGUAAUACGGAGGGUGCGAGCGUUAAUCGGAAUUACUGGGCGUAAAGCGCGCGUAGGUGGCUUGAUAAGCCGGUUGUGAAAGCCCCGGGCUCAACCUGGGAACGGCAUCCGGAACUGUCAAGCUAGAGUGCAGGAGAGGAAGGUAGAAUUCCCGGUGUAGCGGUGAAAUGCGUAGAGAUCGGGAGGAAUACCAGUGGCGAAGGCGGCCUUCUGGACUGACACUGACACUGAGGUGCGAAAGCGUGGGUAGCAAACAGGAUUAGAUACCCCUGUAGUC